GUCCCCUCCGGGCCCUCAGCUAGCACUGCUGCAUACACGCAGGCCGUGAGGGAGCGGUUUCGUGUGUGUGCGUGUGUGUGGUUCUGUCAUACGUGUGGGCAUGUGUAGUCACCACGACCAGCAUGCAGAGCUGCACAUUACUACAAGGGUCCCUGCACCACAGCCCCCUCCUCCCCGCCCCAUCUGAACAACGGUAGAAUUUAAGCCCCCGGGAACUGGCAGAAACCGUGGGAAGGGCAUUCCUUUCUGCUGAGGCUCCCGUGGGAGGGUUGCGCCUAUCUUAUCUGGAUGGUGACUAAAGGCCGCGGGUUGCUGUCCCGUAAGCCCAGAACAGUGCUGACCCUACUGAAUGUGGCAUUGAUUUCCUUCCAGAGAGCUCACACUCCAAAGUCCUGUCACCUCACAGAGCCAGCAGGCCCCUCGCUGCUCGUGGGCUGCCUCUGAGAAGGCGCAGGGAGAAGGGACAGGAGCUAGCACUGAGUCAGAGACAAGAAAACACAGGGAGGCAAUCAGACGGUUUAUGUAAUGAAGCAUUCUGCUAGCGCUGUGGCCCCUUCGGACCCUCAAUGGAAAUAGCUUAUUGCCCACCAAAGCCUCCAGGAUGCGUCGUGGGAACAGCUGCACGAAGAACCGCCACACGGAUGCCACAGUGCCUCCCAGCCCUGGGCCCCGAUGCUGCGCAGUCCGGGAGUGGAUCUCUCUCAGAGGGCGGCUCAGGUGAACCACUGUGCGACUGAGUCCAGAACAGGGAGCCACGUGCUGACUGGCGGCAACACCAGGCUGGGCCGGCACCGGGAGCUCCUGGGCACUACGUCCCGCACGGCCUAAGGAAGCAGCGAAGUUUGACUCUCCAGCCCCUGACAAGACGUGCGACUGGACCCCAGCCUGGUGAUGUGUCCCUGCAUCUCGGGGAUGUGAGGUCUCCCCUCCCAGCAGAGAAGUUGAAAGAGUGACUUCGUUACUGAGUUUUCAAAUUCUCCCCAGCACGGAUCAGAAAAGACAUUUCUGUUCAGAGCUGCCACAUUACAAGCAGGCGGAACAAUUUGCAUAGUUUCCAGGGGGCUCAGGGGAAGGGGAGCGUUUAGUUCCCAAGCAAUUAUCAUUAUUUUCAAUAGAGUUACGGUGCCACAAAGUGGAUCCAUUUCUUGCUGCAAAAUAAGCAAGAAAUGGAUUAGCUGUUUUUGCAGCACGGUACAUUUCGCUCCUUGGCCACAUUCUGCCGGCGUGGCACUCCUCUGUGUGGGCGUGGAAACUGCCUUCGCUGUCGGUGCUGCAAACUCUCAGGAGACCGACUUGAUGGAGUCCCUGAAGUCAAAGGCACUUUGGGUCCGAAGGGGAAAGUGAGACACCACAGAGGGAGAGAGCGAGCUGCCGAGACAGCUACUGUCGUCAGCACACGGCCAUCUGUUUGCCCGUUCUUGUCGGUCACUCUGGGUCUCCUCCCACUGGCACAGGCCUUGGAAAAGACUGCAGCAGGCCGGGUCACACAGCUAGCAUCCUCCUCACAAAGAGCUGUGUGCAGAGAACGCAGUGUCAACGGGCGCAGUGGAAGGGGAGAAAUCUGG